UGAAAAGCAGGGUCCUGUUGCCCAUGUGAACAGGUCUCUCGUAAACUUCAGGGAAAUUGUUCACAUUGUUAUUGGGUGAACCUCUGUAAGUGGUUUUGAUGACAGAAGGUUCAGUAAAUGAUGUUACAUUA
rnacentral:snoRNA from 1 species